rnacentral:rRNA from 1 species
UGGGGAAUAUUGGGCAAUGGGCGAAAGCCUGACCCAGCGACGCCGCGUGAGGGAAGAAGGUCUUCGGAUUGUAAACCUUUGUCAACAGGGACGAAGAAAGUGACGGUACCUGUGGAGGAAGCCACGGCUAACUACGUGCCAGCAGCCGCGGUAAUACGUAGGUGGCGAGCGUUAUCCGGAUUUACUGGGUGUAAAGGGUGAGUAGGCGGGAAGUCAAGUCAGAUGUGAAAUGCCGCGGCUUAACUGCGGAACUGCAUUUGAAACUGAUUUUCUUGAGAGUCGGAGAGGCAAUCGGAAUUCCUAGUGUAGCGGUGAAAUGCGUAGAUAUUAGGAGGAACACCAGUGGCGAAGGCGGAUUGCUGGACGACAACUGACGCUGAGACACGAAAGCGUGGGGAGCAAACA